GUGACCCAGCGACGCCGCGUGGAGGAAGAAGGCCCUUGGGUUGUAAACUCCUUUUCGGGGAGAAGAAGGCGGCGCAAGCCGCUUGACGGUACCUCCGGAAUAAGCCACGGCUAACUACGUGCCAGCAGCCGCGGUAAUACGUAGGUGGCAAGCGUUGUCCGGAUUUACUGGGCAUAAAGAGCGCGUAGGCGGUCCAAUCAGUCAGGCGUGAAAUCCCCCGGCUUAACCGAGGAACUGCGCUUGAUACUAUUGGGCUUAGAGUGCAGGAGGGGAGAGCGGAAUUCCUGGUGGAGCGGUGAAAUGCGUAGAUAUCAGGAGGAACGCCGGUGGCGAAAGCGGCUCUCUGGUCUGCUACUGACGCUGAGGCGCGAAAGCUAGGGGAGCAAACGGGAUUAGAUACCCCGGUAGUCCUAGCCCUAAACGAU
rnacentral:rRNA from 1 species